rnacentral:misc_RNA from 1 species
UCCGGUUUGUCACCGGCAGUCUCAUUAGAGUGCCCAACUAAAUGUAGCAACUAAUGACAAGGGUUGCGCUCGUUGCGGGACUUAACCCAACAUCUCACGACACGAGCUGACGACAGCCAUGCAGCACCUGUGUAUCGGUUCUCUUUCGAGCACAUCCGCCUCUCAGCAGACUUCCGACCAUGUCAAGGGUAGGUAAGGUUUUUCGCGUAGCAUCGAAUUAAUCCACAUCAUCCACCGCUUGUGCGGGUCCCCGUCAAUUCCUUUGAGUUUUAAUCUUGCGACCGUACUCCCCAGGCGGGAUGCUUAAUGCGUUAGCUGCGCCACUGAAGGGUAAACCCACCAACGGCUAGCAUCCAUCGUUUACGGCGUGGACUAC